rnacentral:rRNA from 1 species
CUAGCCCUAAACGAUGUAGACUUGGCGUCGGUGGUUUAAACGCCAUCGGUGUCGAAGCUAACGCGAUAAGUCUACCGCCUGGGGACUACGGCCGCAAGGUUAAAACUCAAAGGAAUUGACGGGUCCCCGCACAAGCAGCGGAGCGUGUGGUUUAAUUCGUUGCUACACGAAGAACCUUACCUGGGUUUGACAUAGGGGUGGUAGGGAAGCGAAAGCGGACCGACCCUUCGGGGAGCCUCUACAGGUGU